CCCUCCCCUGCAGCGACACUCAGUUCGUUUCUUAUCGUUAAGAUCGGUAUUCCCUGCAUCUGUGUUCAUCUUAUUUGUUUUUCCUUCCCUUCACAGAUGUUCAUCUGCUUUGCUUCUUUAAUUCCACCUAUGAAUGACACCACAUGGUCAUUCUCUUUUCCCACUGACCUAUUUCACUUAAGAUGAUCCCUCUAGUUCUACCCACGUCAUUGCAAAUGGCAAGAUUUCCUUCUCUUUGAUAGCUGAGUACCAUUCCUCUCUCUAUGACCACCAUCUAUCUCCCAUCCUCUUUAUCCAUCAUCUGCCACAGGGCACCAAGGCUCCUCCCACAGUGUGGCUACUGUGGACCCGGCUGCUGUGGACAUUGGGGUGCAGUUGUCCCAUAUCUCACUGCAUCUGUAUCUUCAGAGUGAGCUCCAGGCCGUACACCUGCUGGUCGCAGGGCGACUCUAUUUGUAACUUGCUGAGGAGCCUCCACACUGUUUCCAAGGCUGCUGCAGCAGCCCGCGGUCCCGCCCACAGUGGAAGAGGGUUGAGUGAGUUUUACAGGACGUGGUAAAAGUCUGGUCCACAUUUCAUUUCGCGUCUUUGGGCUCCAAUUCCUUCUCCUUAAGUAUUUUUGAGGAAACCGGGUGUUGGGCUCCUUUUGAAUCAGACGUUUCCGAAGGUAACAGGGCACAGCUGGAGCCUGGAAGGAGGCAGAGGUGGGACCCGGACUGGCAUGCUGCCUCCUGCAGCCUCCUGCGGCGUCUGAGCAUCCCACAGGGGGUGCCUGAGCCCAGGCACCGCCCAGGGUGUAUGCAUGCGCAGUAGGCCUCCUCUGCCUGCACUAACAGGAGCCAGCCUUUCCUGGGGAGGCCUGAGGAAGACGUGGGGACACAUCCACGCUGAUGAGCCACAGCCUCUUCAGAACCUGCGUGGAGCCUUCAGGGGGAUAUUGGGCAACGUUCACACUGACAGGAGCCCUGGUCUCCUCAGAAUACACAGUGAGGCUUCAGGAAAUUGUUGGCCCUCACCCACCCUGACAGGAGCCCCUGGGCUGCUGCAGGCCCCGCGGGGAGGCUUUAGUAAGAUGUGGGCCCGCAUCCACGUUGACAGGAGCCCCUGGGCUGCCUCAGGACACGCGGGGAGGCUUCUGAAAAAUGUGGCGCAGCGUCCACUCUGGCAGGAGCUAACGGGCCCCUCAGGACAUAAGUUGAGUCUUCUGGAAGCUGGGGGCUGCAUCCACAGUGACCGGAGCCCGGCCACCUCAGAACAAGCGGUGACGCUUCGGGAGGAUGUGGGGCCACGUCCACACAACUGGACGCUGAUGUCCUCAGGACCCCUGGUGUAGACUUCGGGUCAUAUGGGGAUGCGUCCAUGCGGACAGAAGACCCCAGCCUUGUCAGAGUCUGCGGUGAGGCCUAAGAAAGAUGUGGAUGCCGAAUCCACACUGACAGGAGUCUCCAGCCACCUCAGGACACACUGUGAAGGAUUGGGAUGAUUUGGGGCCCCAUCCAUGCUGACAGGAGCCCCCAGCCUCCUCGGGUCUUAUGGUGAGGCUGAGGAAAAUAUGGGGCCACGUCAAGACUGAGAGGACCCCCGUCCUCCUCAGGACCUGCACUUUGGCUUCGGGACACAUGGGGCUGCGUCUAGGCUGACAGGAACCCACAGCCUCCUCAGGACCCGCGGUGAGUUUUCUGGGGGACGUGGGGCCAUGUCCAGGCUGAGAGGAGCCCCCGGCCUCCUGAGAACCUGCUGUGAGGCUUCCAGAGGAUGUGAGGCAUACUCCACGGUGACAGGAGACCCGGCGUACUCAGGACCUGCUGACUAUGACUCUGGAACACAUGGGGCCACGUGCGCACUCACAGGAGCCCGGCUUCCUCAGGACCCCCUGGAGGACACUGGAGGCACCGUUGGGGCCACGUCCAUGUCAGAAGGGACUCCUCAGAACCAUAGGUGUGUAUAUUUACCACAUCGUCUCUGCCCAUUCUUCUGUCGAUGGACAUCUGGGCUCUAUACAGUUUCGCUGUUGUUGACAAUGCUGCUACCAACACUGGGCUGCGUGUUCCUCUUCGAAUCUACUCAACUACUUUUGUAUCCUCAGGACUGUUGUGCCCAAGAUUGCGAAUAUGAGAAACCACCGAGAAGUCAACAUGAAUGCAAACACACGAGGGUUAAUUUACAAGAUCGAGCUUGUGUCCAAGUAUACCCGACACAGCAGAGCAGGGACUUGGACCCCAAGAGGAAGAAUUCAGGGAUUCACCAGUUGGAGAUAACAGCAGUGCACGUGACAACACCUCCCCUGUUAUCCCCAAACUCCAGCGGCCCUCAGUUUGUUUCCUUUCAUUAAGAGUCUGUAUUUCCUGCAUCUGUUUUUAUCAUAUUUGUUUUUCCUUCCCUUUACAGUUGUUAUCUGCUUUGCUUCUUUAAUUCCACCUAU